AUUGAACGCUGGCGGCAUGCUUUACACAUGCAAGUCGAACGGUAACAGGGAGCUUGCUCCGCUGACGAGUGGCGAACGGGUGAGUAAUGCGUCGGAACGUGCCGAGUAGUGGGGGAUAACGCAGCGAAAGUUGUGCUAAUACCGCAUACGUACUGAGGUAGAAAGUGGGGGACCUUCGGGCCUCACGCUAUUCGAGCGGCCGACGUCUGAUUAGCUAGUAGGUGAGGUAAAGGCUCACCUAGGCGACGAUCAGUAGCGGGUCUGAGAGGAUGGGCCGCCACACUGGGACUGGAACACGGCCCCGACUCCGACGGGAGGAAGCAGUGGGGAAUUUUGGACAAUGGGCGAAAGCCUGAUCCAGCCAUGCCGCGUGUCUGAAGAAGGCCUUCGGGUUGUAAAGGACUUUUGUCGGGGAGGAAAUCCCCAGCGUUAAUACCGCUGGGGGAUGACAGUACCUGAAGAAUAAGCACCGGCUAACUACGUGCCAGCCGCCGCAGUAA
rnacentral:rRNA from 1 species